rnacentral:rRNA from 1 species
CCUACGGGAGGCAGCAGUGGGGAAUUUUGGACAAUGGGCGCAAGCCUGAUCCAGCCAUGCCGCGUGCAGGAUGAAGGCCUUCGGGUUGUAAACUGCUUUUGUACGGAACGAAAAGACUCUGGUUAAUACCUGGGGUCCAUGACGGUACCGUAAGAAUAAGCACCGGCUAACUACGUGCCAGCAGCCGCGGUAAUACGUAGGGUGCGAGCGUUAAUCGGAAUUACUGGGCGUAAAGCGUGCGCAGGCGGUUAUAUAAGACAGAUGUGAAAUCCCCGGGCUCAACCUGGGAACUGCAUUUGUGACUGUAUAGCUAGAGUACGGCAGAGGGGGAUGGAAUUCCGCGUGUAGCAGUGAAAUGCGUAGAUAUGCGGAGGAACACCGAUGGCGAAGGCAAUCCCCUGGGCCUGUACUGACGCUCAUGCACGAAAGCGUGGGGAGCAAACAGGAUUAGAUACCCUGGUAGUCCACGCCCUAAACGAUGUCAACUGGUUGUUGGGUCUUCACUGACUCAGUAACGAAGCUAACGCGUGAAGUUGACCGCCUGGGGAGUACGGCCGCAAGGUUGAAACGUCAAAGAUUAGACGG